GCAGACGUAGCUAAGCGGAUAUAGCGGCGGCCUCCGAAGCCGCAGGCGUGGGUUCGACCCCCACCGUUUGCA
rnacentral:tRNA from 1 species